rnacentral:rRNA from 1 species
ACACGGAGGAAGGUGGGGAUGACGUCAAAUCAUCAUGCCCCUUAUGAUCUGGGCUACACACGUGCUACAAUGGCCGGUACAACGGGCAGCGAAGGAGCGAUCCGGAGCGAAUCCUAAAAAGCCGGUCCCAGUUCGGAUUGCAGGCUGAAACUCGCCUACAUGAAGUUGGAGUUGCUAGUAAUCGCGAAUCAGAAUGUCGCGGUGAAUGCGUUCCCGGGUCUU